rnacentral:sRNA from 1 species
UUCUAGCCCUGAUAGAAGUGGAAAUCCUUUUGUGCCGGUCCCGAUAGCUAUCGGGAGCACAAAAGAUUGAAACGGAUAGCAGGAAAUAGC